GCCCCGGUGGUGGGGAGGAGCCUAGAGGAGGCCGACGCGGGGAGUAACCCGAGCGCUGCGUUUAUAUAAGGGCCGCGGUGGGUAAAGAAGGGGCCUUACCUCUGCUGGUGACCAGAAGGCUGCGUUUCCAAAUUCUGCUUGUUAACUCCCAGCCUCAGAUCUGAAAGGCUUCAACUCUGUACCCUAGAUCACAAGAAGAGAGUCACCCUUUAACAGUAGAAGUCACCAUGGUCGAUACAGAGAUGCCAUUCUGGCCCACCAACUUUGGGCUCAGCUCCAUGGACCUGUCGGUGAUGGACGAUCACUCGCACUCCUUUGACAUCAAGCCCUUCACCACGGUGGACUUCUCCAGCAUCUCAACACCACACUAUGAAGACAUACCGUUCCCCAGGGUGGACCCGAUGGUUGCCGAUUAUAAAUAUGACCUGAAGCUGCAGGAGUACCAAAAUGCCAUCAAGGUAGAGCCUGCAUCGCCCCCAUACUAUUCUGAAAAGACUCAGCUGUACAAUAGGCCUCACGAGGAGCCCUCCAACUCGCUCAUGGCCAUCGAGUGCCGCGUGUGUGGGGACAAGGCCUCUGGCUUCCACUACGGAGUCCACGCCUGUGAAGGGUGCAAGGGUUUCUUCCGGAGGACCAUCCGAUUGAAGCUUAUUUAUGAUAGGUGUGAUCUUAACUGUCGGAUCCACAAAAAGAGUAGAAAUAAAUGUCAGUACUGUCGGUUUCAGAAGUGCCUUGCGGUGGGGAUGUCUCAUAAUGCCAUCAGGUUUGGGCGGAUGCCACAGGCUGAGAAAGAGAAACUGUUGGCUGAGAUCUCCAGUGACAUCGACCAGCUGACCCCAGAGUGUGCAGACCUCCGGGCCCUGGCCAAGCACCUGUAUGACUCAUACAUCAAGUCCUUCCCUCUGACCAAAGCCAAGGCCCGGGCGAUUUUGACAGGAAAGACCACGGACAAAUCACCAUUUGUCAUCUAUGAUAUGAAUUCCCUGAUGAUGGGUGAAGACAAGAUCAAGUUCAAGCACAUGACACCCCUGCAGGAGCAGAGCAAGGAGGUGGCCAUCCGCAUCUUCCAGGGCUGCCAGUUCCGCUCGGUGGAGGCCGUGCAAGAGAUCACGGAGUAUGCCAAGAGCAUCCCAGGCUUCGUGGGCCUCGACCUCAAUGACCAGGUGACCCUGCUCAAGUAUGGUGUGCACGAGAUCAUCUACACCAUGCUGGCCUCAUUGAUGAACAAGGACGGCAUGCUCAUCUCUGAGGGCCAGGGCUUCAUGACCCGCGAGUUCCUCAAGAGCCUGCGGAAGCCCUUUAGUGACUUUAUGGAACCUAAAUUUGAAUUUGCCGUGAAGUUCAAUGCACUGGAACUGGACGACAGUGACCUGGCCAUAUUUAUAGCCGUCAUCAUCCUCAGUGGAGACAGGGUCUUCCUGUGUUAUGCAAGCUGGCCUUGAACUCUUGGACUCAAGCUAACCUCCCGCCUCAGCCUCCCAAGUGCUGGGACUCAAGGUACAGACCACCACUCCUGGCUCCUGCCUGGUGACCCUGAACUGACUGUGUGUCCCCAGUCCCCUCAUUCUAGAAGGGCCCCCGACUUGGCCAACACCUCUGCACUGGCUCCGACAUCUGCUAAGUGGGCUUUUCAGAGCCUCAGAACAGCCUUCCAUGAUGCUGUGUGGAAAGGGACGUUGCACAAGGAGCCGGGGACAGAGUGCCUGCCCACCAGACAAUGCUUCUAGACAAACAGCCGCUUCCUCCGUUAAUGAGUCCUGUGGAAUGCAGAUGAGAUUUUUUCCUCCUCCUUUUUGCUGAUUAAGUUCCCCCAAAACCCCCUUAAGGAUUUUAAUAAGAAAUGCAAAAAUCAACAAAAGUCCGGCAAAGCCUUUCCUGUUAUUAAAUAAAGGGAAAGUAAAUAUUGCAAAUUAGA